UUUGUGUGUGUGUUGGUAUUGAUAUGUAGGCUGUGUGUAUUGAUAUUGAUAUGUAGGCUGUGUGUAUUGGUAUUGAUAUGUAGCCUGUGUGUAUUGAUAUGUAGGCUGUGUGUAUUGAUAUGUAGGCUGUGUGUAUUGAUAUGUAGGCUGUGUGUAUUGAUAUGUAGGCUGUGUGUGUUGGUAUUGAUAUGUAGGCUGUGUGUGUUGGUAUUGAUAUCAAGGCUGUGUGUGUUGGUAUUGAUAUGUAGGCUGUGUGUGUUGAUAUGUAGGCUGU
rnacentral:lncRNA from 8 species